rnacentral:misc_RNA from 1 species
AAAAUGGCGGCUUCCAUACACACGUGAGAAGAGACCAUUGCCAGACCACCUCUAGUAUUCAUCCGUAGAAAAAUAUAAGAAUUGAGAUUGAUAUUUUAAAAGAGGAUAAAUAUGGCCAAAAAGAAGAAAAACCUUGCGGAUAAAACGAGGAAUAAAAAAAGAGAUCCAGAAAAGAAAGUUAAUCCAUUUGAGAUCAAGAUCAAUCGACAGAAACAGAAAGUAAUGGGCCGUAAAGUAUCCAAGCACGACAGAGGGAUGCCAGGGCUAUCAAGAUCUAAAGGAAUCCAAAAGAGAAAAGCCACAUUACUUCAGGAAUAUAACCAAAGGUUCAAAAGCAAUAAAUUCAUUGACAAAAGAUUCGGUGAGAAUGACACCUCACUCAGUGUAGAGGAGAAAAUGAUGAAGAGAUUUGCCAUGGAAAGAGCAAAGGAGAAAACAAACAAGUUCAGCCUGAAUGAAGACGAGGAUGAUCUGACCCACUUUGGCCAGUCUCUCUCCUCCAUUGAGAAGUUUGAGGAGCCACUCGUCAGUGAAGAUGAAGAAGAUGGUGGCAGGAUUGAUGCUGAUAUGGUGGCAAAGGAACACUUUGGUGGCUUUAUGACAAACAGUAACCAUGAAGAGUUAGGUGGACAGAAACAAAAGAGCUGGAAAGAGAGAAUGGAAGAAAUAAUUGCCAAGUCUAAAAAGGAAAAGUAUGAACGUCAAGCAGAGAAAGAGAAAACCAGAGAACUGACAGAAAAGUUGGAUGCUGAAUGGAAAGAUGUUAUGAAGCUCAUGUCUGGAUCAGACAAGAGAGGCCCUGAGGAUAAUUUCCCAAGUAAAGCAGAUGAUUUUGACAUUGCAGUGAGGGAACUCAAGUUUGAAAUGAAGGGCAAGGCCACAGACAAACUGAAAUCUGAGGAAGAACUGGCAAAGGAAGAGAAAGAAAGACUAGACAAACUUGAGGCUGACCGUCACAGAAGAAUGAAGGGAAUAGCAGUUGAAGAGGAGGAAGAAAAGAAGAGGGUUCAUUUCUCUGCUGAUGAUCUCAAUGACAACUUUUCUGUGGAUAUUCAACCUCGAUUCCAUGCAGUGUUCAAAGAUGGAAAAAUGAAGAUGAAUGAAGACGAGAGUGAAGAUGAAAAUGAUGAAGAAGAAACUGAGGAUGAUGAGGACAAAGAAGAUGAUGAUGGUGAUGAUAAAGAUGGGAGUGAAGAGGAAGAUGAUGAGGAGAGUGAAAAAGAUGAAGAUGAGGUUGAAGAAAAUGACAACGAAGAGGACAAUGAAGGUUUGACUUAAAUUCUAAUCUUUGAGAGGACGGGAUGGUUAUGGCCAUUUUAAGACAAUAUGUAUCUCUAUGAGAAUUUUCAUAACAAAACAAAGAAAGUUAUAUGGAUUUUUUCAUUAUCAAAUAAUUUUUAAAUGCUUAUUAAAUGAUAUCAAAUUUUAUAAAAUAGGUUCUGAUGAUUCUGACAGUGACAGUUACGAAGACAUUGAGUCGGAGAAUGAAGGAGACUCAGACAGUGAGAAACCUACAGUCAGCCAACCCAAAAAAGCAACACUAGACCUCAAGGAAAGGAAGAAAGUCAUGGAUGAGGCACGGAAGGAGCUUCCUUACACUUUCCCAGCACCCAAAGAUUAUGAUGAGUUGCUAGACUUGUUACAAGAGCACAGUGAGAAAGAUCAGCUGACCAUUAUAGCCCGACUCAGGAAAUGUCACCACGUCAGCCUGGCAGAGGGAAACAAACAGAAACUAGAGACCCUGUUCUCCUGCCUGGUCCAGUACUUCGCUGACCUGGCCCUCCAACAGCCCCCACAGCUCCAGCUGAUGGACAAGCUGGUGCCCCACCUGUACGAGCUGUGCCAGGGGUCCCAGGUGUCCGCCGCCCAGGUGUUGGUGGACCAGAUCACGGAGAGGCAGCAGGAGUUCCAGGCCAUCUGUGAUAGUAGGAAAGGGAGAGGACUCUAUCCUGCCCUAGACACUUUGAUGCUUUUGAAACUUGUAGCCAUAUUAUUUCCUACUUCUGAUUUCCGCCAUGCAGUCACUACUCCAGCUAUCAUCUUCAUUGCUCAGAUGCUGGCAGAGACCUCCGUUAAACAUGAGCGGGAUGUGGCAGUCGGCCUCUUCCUCUGUACUCUGGUGCUGGAAUAUGUGUCAUUGUCUAAAAGAUUUAUGCCAGAGUGUGUGAACUUUUUACAUGGACUUCUGUUCCUGGCAUCAAACAAAGACCCCAACAAAUAUGCCCAAGUUAUUCCUCCAUUCAGGCCAGUCGGAAAAUUUAAUGACCUUCUGGUGGUUUCAAAGACAAACAAAAAAGCAGAUGUCAAGAUGUUAAAAAUGUCUAAAGUGUUGAACGUGGAAAUGGAUAUAGAUGAACUACGAAAUGAUGAAUUCAGGUUAUCUGUGAUAAAAGGCUGUGUGGCUCUGUUGUCGGAGUUCCAGACUCUGUACCAGGAACUACCCAGCUACAGAGAAAUCUUCUCCCCCAUCCUAGACAUGAUGGACAAGUUACCGGUCAAUAAAUACCCCCUCACACUACAGGAAUCGAUAAAAGACCUUCAGAAAACCUUAAAAGAAAGGAGUAGCAAAUCUCGAAUGCAAGUCAGUAUGCCACAUAGUAAACCCAAACCCCUGAAGAUGUUUGAACCCAAGAUAGAGGAAGUGUUUGAGGACAGAAAGAAAAAGAAGGCAGCGUCAAAGGAAGAAAACGAGAAAGGGAAAAUGAAGCACAAAUACAAGAAGGAGCUGAAGGGUGCCAUUAGAGAGAUCAGGAAAGACACGCAGUUCUUGGCUCGAGAGCAGCUCAAUGAACAGAUGGAAAAAGAUGCAGAGAGAAAAAGAAAAGUCAAAGAACUUUAUGGCAUGCUGGCUACACAAGAAGGGGAUUAUAAAGCAUCUAAAAGGACUAAAAAGAAUAACAACCCAUUCUAAUGAACCCAUCAUCAGCUGGAUCUGUAUUUCCUCUUCAUGAAUUCUGUUGUUACUGUUAUAUAUGAUGUGAAUACAACAUGUAUGGUUUAAUACAUAUAAAAGUGCAAUUAUUUUGGAAAAGAAAAAAGAAGCCCAUUAGGGUACUUGAAAACAUUAGUGUACAUAACAAUAACCAUGUUAUUAAUUUGCUGUUCAAUAUAAGAAAUAAAUUUUCCAUCAUAAAA